CUUCCAGCAGCUUUAUGUCUCCGCAAUCAUCACUUUAGAAAUAAGAAUUAAAGCCAAAAUUAUUUGAUGAAAAAAAAAAAAGAAUUAAACAAUUGUUUCGUUCGAGAAGCCUGGAGGUUGUUUUCCAGGUUGUUUAGAAGUUGUUAACUACUUUGAAACUGCAGCUUACAUCACAUAUCCACCAGCUAGCACCCAGAUGUCUUACACAUAGCACACAGAAUGUAGAGCAUGUACAUUUCACGUGUGAAACUGGAUUAAAUCUUUUGUUUGGAAGCACAUGGGACAUCUGGCAGCAUCAGGGGAAAAAUCCUUUUUCCUCAUGAAAAUAAGCAGAUAAAUCCCUUCAUUACAACUUGAGUGAUACGGCUAGAAAUUCGUAUUUUAACAGGGAGAGCAGACAGUUUUGUUGGGUAAUGUGUCCUAUUUGGUAUAUGGCACAGAAGAGUAAAAACACACACGUUUGUUUUUUAUCAUAAAGUAUCCCUCUAUUAAUAGAUAACAUAUGUUUUAAUUCUAACUUUUAUAUAUGUCUGUCCUGAGACUUUGGAGCUCUGAUCAGAACUUGGUAACGAUGGACUCUUUCUUCCAUCCCAGUUCCUUAAAUUUGUUUCCAGAGAAUUUUCCUACUGGACUAGAUGUCUCUUUAACAUCAAACUCUGCCCUUCCACCCACUGCAGACAUACGAGCAAAGCUCACACUUCGGACACUGCCAGAUUUCUGAGUCAUUCAAAGGAUAUAAAAUAAUCAAAGCUGAUAAUUUUGUGGUGGAAAGUAUGACAGCGUCGGGAGUUUCUGGUUGCAGUUUUCUGCUCUGCAGGUCGUGUUCAUACAGUUCCCACACUGUGGGCUCUGGAGGAUCUUAAAUCUUCAAAUUCUUUCUUGCCACCAAAUCCCAGAGUUGAUAAGGCUGGUAAAGCGAUGGGACGAAAGGUGGAGGGCAGCUAUAAAUCACAUGUAGAAAAUGUCUUCACGAAUGUCAAUGGUGAUAGGCAGAUGGUUGGACUGGAUGAUCUUGUAGGUCUUUCCCAACCUUGGUGAUUCUAUGAUCUCUUAGUUCACUGAAUGGAGGAGAGCUACUACAUAAAAGCGCAUACAAUUGCAACUAAAUACAACUACAAUAGACCCACCUCCCCACGUAUCUGCAGUAACUUCAGAGGCUGUAGAUGAACUGCACAUCUGCUGUUGGGGUAACAAUGCCUUACAGUGUCAUGGCCUCCUAGUAGAUAUGAUGAAAAGGGAGAAAAUUGGUAUCACAUCUAUGUUUCCAGUAUUAUCUGUAUUAAUUUGUCAAACAAAUGUUAUAAAAGCAGCUACAGAGGAAGAGCAUAGUUUAUAAGUCCAAACUUGUUUUCAAAGAGCCCAGAAUCUUGGUCUUGGGUUGAGUUGUUGAGUCAGAGCCCAGACUCUUAACGUCUAACUUCAGUUAAAAUUUAUGUUGAGCAUUUGAAUGUAGCAAGCAGUCAGAUUAAACAACUGAAGUCAAAAGAAAUAACCAACUAAAAUGGCAUUGCUCUGGAAUUAUCAGUACUAACAGUAUGAAAACAAGCAAUUAGUUGAAAGAGGAAGUAUGUUUUAAGACGCUUUACAAUAAGGAAUAUUAAAAAAAAUAAAUUGAGUUACUGUAACACAACAGAAAGCACAGCAAUGAUAGUAGAGUAGCAAGGUCCUAGGCUACAGUAAGUGAGGAUUUGCUCAGAUGCAACAACCACGGGCACAGAAACAAAGGAAAGAAGCUGCUUACCUUCAGAAAGUCUCAGGUAGGCAGGAAUCUCCAGCAAAAUACCCUUGCCUCCACUGCCAACCCGUAAAUGAGGUCUGGGAAGGAGUGGAUCCUGGCUCAACCCUUCUGGUCUCUCAGGUACAUUGCAUACACCUGAGCUCCCCUGGGUUGGCCCUGCCUUCCCACCAGGUGCUCCAUCACUGCUUCAUGCCAUGACUCAGCAUUUACACUAGUUAUCUUUUACUCUUCAGUGGAAGCCUCCUUAAACUCGUAGGUCCCACUGUGUAUUCUUUUUACAUAGGCAGUAUUGGACUUUCAGCUUUUUGUUCUCCAUCCCUAGCUGGGAAUUUGGGGGCAAUGACUACAUUCACAGCAUUGGUUGGCACGGAGCUGCGUGACCAAACAGGUAGUUAUUCUUUAAGCUCACGAUGGCUGAGAAUUUCCUUUUUCUUGCAAUGUGUUUCUUUCUUUCAUUGGAAAGAGUGCUGACGCAAUUGGGACAACUCUGACUCUCCUUACCCCGCUGCCAAAACAAAACAAAACAAAAAUACAAAGUUGUCUAUGCUGAGUAAUCAAUUCCCUUAGGAGAAGGGAAGAGGAAUGAUGGGUGAUUACACAGCAGCCACUGACUAUGGGGCAGGAGCUCAGUUGUUCUAGGGAAAAAAUUGCAAUUCUUCAUCUAUUUUCCAGCAUGGCCUUUAUGAAUGUUUUUUGUUGUCGUUGUUGUUUUUCAGAUAGAAGAGUGGGAGGAAAACUUGGAAUUCAUCUUCCAAAAUGCAGCUCUGGAAUCUGAAAAGAUAUGCUCAGAUCUAUGAAGUGGUGCUCAUUCUUUUCCAUACAGAUGAGAGAUCUUCCUAUGGGUGCUCCACCUCAGCAACACGAAAGGAAGAGUUUGAACAAGGUGAUAGAAACUCUCAGAGUCAGUGCGUGCCAGUGCAUACUGCCUUUUUGUUGCACGUAACCAAUACUGUCAAUGGCAUUUGAAUGGAGAAAGUACUUUCAGGCAGCCAUUUUUCAACAUUUUUUCAACACAGCACUAUUAGCCAUGCAUUAUCACCAGUGAUGAAUAACAGCCUGCAUGCCAUGUUUGUAACUACCUGCGCCAGCAGAGGUGACCCACUGUCCCUGUCACCACUGUUGAAAUGCACCACCCAUUCCUCACUGUGCUCACAUCCACCAUUUGGUCUCCAUAAACAUUCACCAACUAUCAAUGAGCGCCAAUGAGUGCAACUUUAUUCCUGCAUGGAGGAAUUCAAUGACACGUCUUUCCUUCAUCUGCACUUCCAUGUCGGAUGCCAUUCUGUCAGGCUGCCCCUCUGCUGCCAUCUGUCAUGCAGCAACAACACAUAACAGGAUACUGGCAGAAGGUUCAACCUCUGUUGUCAUACAGUAAAGUUCAUCAGAGUGCUCAUCAGAGAUUUCUGAUGAAAUUUUACUCUUCUUGAGCUUCAGUCUUGACUACAGUUGUUCACAAGUGGACGCACUGCCAAAAAGUGGUGACACAAACAAGGUGUGGCUGUGAAGAGAGAGAUGUUUCUCUCUUACAGAAGUCUGGUAAAAAGACAUGAUCACAUUUUGCAUUGCAACUCUAUACAUUCCACUUGAAAAUUCACAGGUCAUGUAUUUAUGCCAACUGAAAAUGGAGUUGGAAAUAAACCAAAACAUUCAUGAUAUUUUUUUUUCGCAAUCUUGAAACCGGAUCUCAGAUUCCUUUAUCACAAUAGAAAGCAUGGCUGCAUAUCUUUUGCUGUUCACAGUAUUGUGUUUAGCCAGAGUAUCAAAAUGCAUAAGCAUAUUUGCCAUCACUUGAGUUAGCUCUGCACAGCUGUUCUGUGCUCACCUUGCAUUCAUCUCUUGCCUCAUGUUUGAAUGCUGACUUCUUCCAAAGACCAGUAACAGACAGUGAGAAAAUGUGAAAGCUUUAACAGAUAUUAGGUCAUAUUUAAGACCUGUUAACUUGAUACUGAAAUUAGUAAGUUUAAUUCUCUUUAAGAACAUUGGGCAUCUGCUUCGGGUUUCCAGACUUGUGCUAAUACCAACUGGAAUAAGACCAAGUUUGAAGGACAUACCAAGAGAAGCAAGUUUUGUCUGGAUACGAUAAAUACAGUCAUGAAAAGAGAAGGUGGCUAAUGCUACAGUACAUCUCCCAGUGUCUAUCUCUUCUGAUUCCCUAGAAGGCUGUUCCAGCCCCCAGGCUGGGCAUCAGCAGUAGCGACAGCCAUGAGCAACCACCCUUCAACCUACACAGUCAUCUACAUCAACAGACAGGGCUGGGGAGUUCACCAUAUCACACAAUGCAGAAGAUCUACAUUCCAAAUUAAUCCAAGACUUAUGUUUGGAGAUGGAUGCUAAAACAUGUGGUGACAUCAAAGACGUUUACAAUUCACAGCAACACAUCUAAGCUCCAUGUGUUAUUUGGCUUUUAACAGUUUUGAUUAAAAGAAAACAGUGCUUCAACUUCACAUGAUUUGUAAGAAGUCUUAAUAAGAAAUAUAAAAAAUGCUGGACUUGCUUUAGAUGGUUCUCCAACACUGGUAUACUCCCCACAUUCCUCUAAACCCAAUGAAUUACUGGCUCUGAAUAAGCACUCCAGUUGGAACCCACAGGCUACAGCUCCAAAGAACUCUAAUGAAAAUAGCCUAUCUCUUUCACAUGUUUUUGGAAUAAUGAAGUGUGACUACUUUGGAAGGAGAAUGUAAACGAACACUGCCUCAGAUUAAGAGCACAGUUCACAAUUCUGAGUUCACGUGAGGUUCGGUAGGCACAAGCAGCAUCACACCAGUCUUGAAAAAGGUAUCCCAUGGUCCCACAUCAUUUGAAUCAGCAGAAGAGCUUGUCAGUCACUGUGCUGUGAAGUGCAACGCAGCAUGCACCAGGACACUGCGUGGCUGCAAAGCAACGAAGUGCUGCUUGGCAUAGACAGAAAACCACUGCAGCAGGGCCUAUUUGCACAGCUUAUGAGACAACAAAGAAAAAUCCCCACUGAGUCCAAGCUCUGUAAUUUGAAAUUUGUUUGGCAGAGAAUGGUUUUGGUGACGAGAUUUCUUCAGAAUGUCCUAUACCUCUUACAACCAAAACUAAAAAUAGGUGGCUACAAAAUCUGAAUAAAAUUUGGAUACAGGCUAUGAAGCUCGAAAACCAAAAUCUUUAUUGAGGAAAAAAAAAAAACAACCCACAACUUGCAGUAAAUCCCCCAAGAGCACAAUAUUUUACAGAGCUGUGUUUGUGCAAGGGGACUGAAAUGGCAAACAGACUGGUAACAGCAAGAAAGGAAUGCAGGGAAGAAACAAGUUCUUUUGUCUAAAUGGAAAGACUUAGAAUUAUAAAAUCAGAGAAUGGUUUGGGUUGGAAGAGACCUUGAAGAUCGUCUUGUUCCCAUCCCCUGCUAUAGGCAGGGACACCUCCCACCACACCAGGUUGCUCACAGCCCACCCAGCCUGGCCUUGAAUGCCUCCAGGGAGAGGCAAGCAGUCCUUCGUUUCAUUGCUAAACCAGCAGCAGCUCACAGGUGUGUUCAUUCUCCUUUGCCUCACAAGAUGUGUAAACAAGGGGCAAUAGAGGGGUGCCAGCACAGCCAAGCGUUUUGUUUUAUUUCCAGAGACAGCGAUGAAGAGGUUUGCCCAAAAUAAAUCUAGAUUAUCUUUUCUUUUAUAGUCACUGUGUUUUGGAACCAGCGAUGACAGCUUUUAUUACUGAGAGCCAUUUGUUCUUCCUGUGGAAACAGGCAGUGGUUUGUCUACAGCAGACUCUGAAUACGACAGUUUCACAUAUGCUCAGACAAAAGCCUGAAGCUCCUUUCCACGUUGGGGAAGACCCCUCCUACUGAUUUUAGCUCUGAUUUUAGCAGCCCCCUGAGCUGGGAGCUGACAGCUCAAAGCUGCUGUGUGGGGAUUUGGUGUCCCUGGGGGGAGAGGUGCUGAGUGCCCCCCGCCCCACAGCAUCAAGCUCACCUUCCACUGGCAGCCAUGAGGUUGACGCCCGCUGCUGGUGGCCUGGAGAUUCGAUGGAUCACAUUCAGCACACACUCAUCUGGUAGGUCCAGCUGCCAAAUGAUCCCCAGGCCUUUAGUCACUUCCACAGUGAGCACCUCCGUCACAGCACGGACAGCACAAUGCAAGCAGCCACGCUGUG
ensembl:lncRNA